rnacentral:misc_RNA from 1 species
GAACGCACAUUGCGCCCCUUGGCAUUCCAUGGGGCAUGCCUGUUCGAGCGUCAUUUACACCCUCAAGCCCUGCUUGGUGUUGGGCGUCUGUCCUCCAGCGACUACCGCGUGGACUCGCCUCAAAAGGCAUUGGCAGCGGUCCUGCCGGGCCUCCUAAUCGCGCAGCACUGUUCGCGCUUCCUGGAGCCCGCGCGGAUUCGGCGUCCAUCAAGCCCAAUCUUCUGAACUUGACCUCGGAUCAGGUAGGGAUACCCGCUGAACUUAAG